AAUUGACGGGGACCCGCACAAGCGGUGGAGCAUGUGGUUUAAUUCGACGCAACGCGAAGAACCUUACCAGGGCUUGACAUCCCUCGCGAUUCGUGGAAACACGGAGUUCUAUGCUUCGGUAUAGACGAGGAGACAGGUGGUGCAUGGUUGUCGUCAGCUCGUGUCGUGAGAUGUUGGGUUAAGUCCCGCAACGAGCGCAACCCCUACUUUUAGUUGCCAUCAUUAAGUUGGGCACUCUAAAGGAACUGCCGGUGACAAACCGGAGGAAGGUGGGAUGACGUCAAAUCAUCAUGCCCCUUAUGUUCUGGGCUACACACGUGCUACAAUGGCCGGUACAGAGGGAGGCAAAGCCGUGAGGUGGAGCGAAUCCCAAAAAGCCGGUCUCAGUUCGGAUUGCAGGCUGCAACUCGCCUGCAUGAAGUCGGAAUCGCUAGUAAUCGCGAGUCAGCAUAUCGCGGUGAAUACGUUCCCGGGUCUU
rnacentral:rRNA from 1 species